GUACCGUAAGAGAGGCUGCGGGCGGAAAACAUGGCCGCGCCCACUGGAGUUUCUUCGUGUGGGCCGCCAUCCAGGAAGCGGCUCCAUUCCGUACGGCGGAGCCAUGGGACUCCCGCCCAGAAACUGCCUAUGGAAGUGGGAUGGAAAUUCUGAAGCAACUAGUAAUCCCAUCAUCCCCUCACCCCUCUAUGAAGAUGCGCACGUCAGUUGUAAAGAGGCAAUUCCUUUCACGUUGUGAAGACCUAAAUAUGCUUCAAACCCCAUCAUAAAUACUACUUCUAACAGCAAGUCCUGCAUGGCAGUGCUGGGAGGUUCUAUGCUCUCCUCAAAAUGUUCAGUCCCUGCAGAUGGAUCAUCCAGCAGCACCUUUCUCAUUUGUGGUGAGAACAGCAGUAUCACUCAGAGCAAGAACUUGGUCAGAUGCAAAGAAUUCUUGACUGCCAAUAGACCCCCUACUUUAACCCUGGCCCUUUUUCCCCUUGAACUAUAACUUCUAUACCAACAUGUCUCCAAAUCUGUCACAUCCAAGUUCUUUUCACUCAUGCCCCUCUCCUAUUCUAAGCUCGAGAAAUAAGAGUGACAAAUAAAGUUCAAAAUCCACAUACUGUC